rnacentral:misc_RNA from 1 species
GGUUCUCAACAUUACCGGUGGCAUCGGAGGUCCUCCAAAAGGUGGCCUGGGAAUCAGGUGGGGUACCAUUCCAGGAGGAAGAGGAUGACUUGAAAGUCCAGGGACCAUCGGUGGAGGUCUCAUAUCUGGUGGUGGUGGAGGUGGAGGAAAACGAGUAAUGGCAGAGGGCAACAUGUCGGUUUGUAGAGGAGCUAAAGGUAGUCUGGGGUGCAUUGGUAGUGGUGGUUGCCUUGGUGGCGGCGGUGGUGGUGGUGGCAACAAUGUACUGGUCUUAGUAUUA